UGGGGAAUAUUGCGCAAUGGGCGAAAGCCUGACGCAGCGACGCCGCGUGAGGGAUGAAGGUCUUCGGAUCGUAAACCUCUGUCAGCAGGGAAGAAAUUUUAGUGUGCUAAUCAGCAUUAAAUUGACGGUACCUGCAAAGGAAGCACCGGCUAACUCCGUGCCAGCAGCCGCGGUAAUACGGAGGGUGCGAGCGUUAAUCGGAAUUACUGGGCGUAAAGCGCUCGUAGGUGGUAUGUCAAGUCAAGGGUGAAAUCCCCGCGCUCAACGUGGGAACUGCCUUUGAAACUGGCAGACUGGAGUGUGUGAGAGGAUAGUGGAAUUCCGGGUGUAGGAGUGAAAUCCGUAGAUAUCUGGAGGAACAUCAGUGGCGAAGGCGACUAUCUGGCACAUAACUGACACUGAGGAGCGAAAGCGUGGGUAGCAAACAGGAUUAGAUACC
rnacentral:rRNA from 1 species